ACUAAUACCGCACUAAUAAGGCUACGGAUUCGAAGUCCCUUGAAGGAUAAUAUAGGCUCUCCAUGCCCUACUCAGACUCAAUACGUCCACGGUGUACAGAAUGGUAACAUAGCUCUCUAACCAUUUGAGCAUGGGUAUACGGGGAAACCCAAUCCCUUGGAAGAUGGGUUAUAAGGAUAAUUUGAGCGGA
rnacentral:ribozyme from 1 species